AAAGACAUCAAUCAAGAGAAUUACUUACGUUUAGUUGAUAAUCCUGGAAAGGUAAUGCUUGAAUUCACGUCCGUUUUUGCAAGUCAUAAUGACCAGUUUGCGAAUUCUCGCUCUAAGUAAAUUGAUUUCGUGCUCAAAUAAAGAUUUGAAAAAAUUGCUUUGGUCAUCCUAUAGUGCUCCUCUAGCAGCGGCUGCUCCUGGAUUCCCUCGGGAAGCUUCAUCCGUCGUGAGUUUCACCCACGGACCCGUCCACCCUAUCAUUCUUGUCCCUCGUGAAGGUUUGUGGGUGUUAUUCUUCGUUAUCAAGCGAGUUUAGAUGGCGUAACUUUUUCGUUAAUGGGCCUAAAGCCCAUAAUGAUCUGAAAGAUUGCUAAACCCAAAAAAGAAGAAAAACC